rnacentral:lncRNA from 1 species
AUGGAAUUGGAAUGCCAGGGAGGCUAGGCGCAGGGGCUGUGAAAAUAUGUCGAAAAUUAAAUGUGAGCUAGAAACGCUGAUCAAACCUUUUGCCUCGGAAAGAGGUGUUUACCGUUCGAGAAAUAUUGCGAACGUGGCUGCAAGGAUCAAAGCUGCGCUUAUCCAAUAAAAGUGGAAAAGGGAAGAUAAUGGCCUGAACAGUGACGUGCCUGCGGACGUAAAUGUAGAAGCAGCUAGCCCGCGGGGAUUUUGGCGGAGGAACCUCAAACAGAUGCCGUUUCCCAGGCUGUUUCUAAAUACACGGAGAUUAUUUCUCCAAAGAUUAUGAACAGUCCUUUUGUCCAAAUCCAAGAUACGAUAAUGCAUAAGCUCCCUCAAAUGGGACAUUCGAAGUUCAUUUAUUUAGAGAUGUCUGAAGCCUUCAAGAAUUAGAGAAGUGCCCAUGAAAAGGCGUCUUUUUCUGGUCUCUUUUGGGUAGCUGAACAGGUAGACAGAUACACGAAACAGAUACUUCUGGAAGCUGCUUUGCUUCAGAAGGUAACUUGUAUUGGCUAAAAGUUUAUAUUAUUGUAAAUAAAAUCAAAAGGCAAACUGUCAGCUUGCAUGUAUCCUUUGAUAAGUCGAUUCAAACACGAAUUUUCUUUGGAAAGGGAAGAUAAACGAAAGUGCUACCCUUGAUAUCUCAGUCAAGAUUUAAGAAAAAAAUUCCCUCCAUAAGAACGUUCAGUGUUGUUGUUGUUUUUCUUUUCUAACAUGUCUUGAGCUAAACAAAACAUGUUAGCAAGAUUGUAACAAAAACUCUUCAUGAUGUAAACAUCCAAAGAGAGAAAUUCUAGAUUGAUUAUAUUCUGGGACCGCAAAGAUUUUAUUACUAGAUAUCACUGAAGCAGAGGAACCAGAGGCUGAAAGCCUCUAACUGGGUGGUGAGGGGAUUUUAGAGGACUAUCUCCCAAUUAAGAAAAAAAAAACUUCAUAAAUUGUAAAUGCAAUAAGUUGAGCUGAAUUU